rnacentral:tRNA from 1 species
GUCUCUGUAGCGCAAUGGAUAGCGCGUUGGACAUCUAAUCCAAAGGUCGGGGGUACGAAUCCCGCCUGGGAUA